GACUCCAGUAUUCACAUGGUUUUAAUUUGUUCACUGCAUGCAGGGUAUUGCAACUUCUCUAAUUAAAGCAAUGAAUGCAGCAGGGUGCAUGAAGCCCAAAUUUCCCUUCUUAAGUAUACGGAGAUCUGCACUGCUCUACAUAGCAUUUCACCUAAAAGCAUUUAAUCCCAGAAGUUCUGAAUAUACAAGAAAGAAGUAUAAGAAGAAGAUGGAACAGUUUAUGGAGAGAUGUGAACUCAUAACAUACCUCAGUGCCAAUAUGACCAGAAAAUACAAGGAACCUCAGUUUAGAGCCAUUGACUUUGAUCACAAACUAUGGACUUUUCUUUCUCUAAGGAAUUUAGACCCAAUUAGUAUAUAGUCUGUUUACUACAAACUGAAUCUCGUGUUACCUCCAAGUGAUAGAGGGAAACUUAAACAAUCAGAUUGAAGACUGACCUUCUCUGCAACACAGCUCCCCGAUAAGUGAUGUUCUAGGGUUGUCUGCUUCAGACAGACUUAGCCUGGCCAACCAAGGCAAGGUUCUCUUUUAUAAGCAUAAAUUUUAAUGUAGUUUUAAAGUUUAUUGCUCUUUGCUUGAAUUUUGUUGCUUAAAAAUAGACAUUCAGAAUUCCAUUAAGGAUAUUUAAAUAAUAUCUAAUAAAUUUAUUAUUUAUUUUCUGUUUUAACACUUUAGU
rnacentral:lncRNA from 1 species